UACAGAGGUCCCAAGCGUUGUUCGGAUUCAUUGGGCGUAAAGGGUGCGUAGGUGGUGCCGUAAGUCAGGUGUGAAAUCUCGGGGCUCAACCCCGAAACUGCACUUGAUACUGCGGUGCUCGAGGACUGGAGAGGAGAUUGGAAUUCAUGGUGUAGCAGUGAAAUGCGUAGAGAUCGGGAGGAACACCCGUGGCGAAGGCGGCCAUCUGGACCAGCACUGACGCUGAGGCACGAAAGCGUGGGGAGCAAACAGG
rnacentral:rRNA from 1 species